rnacentral:misc_RNA from 1 species
GAUGAAGAACGUAGCGAAAUGCGAUAAGUAAUGCGAAUUGCAGAAUUCCGUGAGUCAUCGAAUCUUUGAACGCACAUUGCGCCCGCCAGCACUCUGGCGGGCAUGCCUGUUCGAGCGUCAUUUCAACCAUCAAGCCCCAGGCUUGCGUUGGAGCCCUGCGGCUGCCGCAGCCUCCUAAAAGCAGUGGCGGGCUCGCUAUCACACCGAGUGCAGUAGAUUACUCUUCGCUCAGGGCGUGCAGCGGGUUCCGGCCGUGAAACCCCCUACUUUUAAAGGUUGACCUCGGAUCAGGUAGGAAUACCCGCUGAACUUAAGCAUAUCAAUAAGCGGAGGA